CCUACGGGAGGCUGCAGUGGGGAAUAUUGGACAAUGGGGGCAACCCUGAUCCAGCCAUGCCGCGUGUGUGAAGAAGGCCCUCGGGUUGUAAAGCACUUUCAGUGAGGAAGAACGCCUGGUGGUUAAUACCCAUCAGGAAAGACAUCACUCACAGAAGAAGCACCGGCUAACUCCGUGCCAGCAGCCGCGGUAAUACGGAGGGUGCGAGCGUUAAUCGGAAUUACUGGGCGUAAAGCGCGCGUAGGUGGCUUGAUAAGCCGGUUGUGAAAGCCCCGGGCUCAACCUGGGAACGGCAUCCGGAACUGUCAAGCUAGAGUGCAGGAGAGGAAGGUAGAAUUCCCGGUGUAGCGGUGAAAUGCGUAGAGAUCGGGAGGAAUACCAGUGGCGAAGGCGGCCUUCCGGACUGACACUGACACUGAGGUGCGAAAGCGUGGGUAGCAAACAGGAUUAGAUACCCCAGUAGUC
rnacentral:rRNA from 1 species